rnacentral:piRNA from 1 species
UGGGAAUUGAACUCAGGACCUCCGGAAGA